rnacentral:snoRNA from 1 species
AAAAUCAAAUCAACCACCAGUUACUUAAAAUUAUUAUUUUUACAUCUUUGGUGGAAAAUUAUGAUGAAUCCUGAACUACGAUGAUGAGUUGUAGGGAUUCCUUCUGAGCAUGAAGCUUGGUUCGUUGUAUCUUCAGAUGUUGCGAACUAUUGAGGAUUGUUCUUAGAUUUCCAUUUGGAGAUCUGGGAGGAAGGAAUCUCUGACUGAGUAGU